rnacentral:lncRNA from 1 species
GCAGACAAAAAUUUUCUACGCUCAUAUCGUCUAUCUUGCUCGUCGUGCAAGACAAUAUCUACACUCUUAAACUCAAGCUGACUGGUUUUCUUUUAAUUUGUCCACCUUCCUUAUUUGGUAAGUUCUUGACAAGCUAAAAAGAGAACCCCAAUUCCCAAAGAAGGAAAUCGGCCGACAACUCCUAAAAAAGCCAUCAAACCAAGAAAAUCAACGAACCCCUUACAUAUUGGAAUUUCCCGUUAUAUCGUUGGUUUCUCGCCGUAGGUAUUUUUCUCACUUGUUUGUUGGUCUACAACAGUGUGUGCGGGCGUGAAAAUGGGGUCCUUAGAGCUAUACCAAGUCGUUGAUUCUGACAACCCAUUUUGACAACUCUGCUUUUGAGGUAUAAGGAUUUACCCAGUCUUUUAAGCUGUUAAAAGCAACUUGCCAUCUUCCGGUAAGGUGUAGUUAAGGUUGUUCGAGUUGCGCUCGAUUCUGGUUAAAGGGCGAGGUCGCCGUUUUGAGUUCUACGUUGAAGGUUUCCGGUCAAGAGGUCCGUUGCCGUGGUCCUGUCGGUUUCACUUUCAAGGCCAGUAAGGAUCAAGCUCUUAUAAAGGCCCGUUGAAGAAAGUUUAUUGCCUGAAGGUCCAUCUCUCAUUUUAUACUUGGCUAAUACAUUUCCUUGAUGAUUGUGAUUGUGAAUCUUUGAGCAUGGAUAAACUUUUUCUUUGUAUCUGAUAAGCAUGAUUUUUUUUUAAUUCGAUCUUCUUAUUUCUCACGUUUACAUCACUAUAAUCCGGAUAUUCUAUGGUUUGGAUCUACUGCAUUGCUAUUUGAGCGUAUCUUUUUAGUUAGUAUUAUUUCAUUAUUGAAUUGGUAUAGUGAAUGUUUGGAAAGAUGCUUGUCAAAAGCUUUUAAGUUGAAUCUGAUAAGGUAAAUGGGCAAAGAUAUUUAAGUCUAGUGAUUUAAUAUACAUAAGAGCUCUAACUAGCCCAAUCGUUAAAUAUUCUUGGGUUAGCUUACAUUUCCAUAAAUAAUUUACUAUAUUUCUUCCACAAAUAAAUUUCAUAACCACAGGCCUUUCACUAUUAUAUCGAACUAGCUUUUUAGGAAAUAAUUCAAACAUCGUAGUUUUCUUUAGGCCCAUAAUAAAAUCGUCACAAUUACGAGUACGAUUCCCGUGGUGUAGUUGUGAUGCUUAGUUUUGAAAAUGAAUAUCUGUAGUUCACUUAGUUGAAUGCUUUUCUUUUAACAAAAUUGAGGUUUGCCAUCAAAUCACCUAGUCUAUUGCCCUCAUAUCGAUAUUUUAACUAGUGUAGAAAAUGUUUCGAAGUGCGUAGUUGCUUUAGGCGUGUAAUUUAAUUUACUUUCCUAAACUGGGGUGUGCAUUUAUGUGCCCCAUUUCUAAAUCUCAACAACAUUAGAUAAAAUGUGUCGUGGACGGCGGGUGCAUUUAUGUGACGUGGUUCAAGACGUGUUUUAGAUGACGUUGAAUCUGUCAUAAAAAUAAUUAAAUAAAAGCAGUUGUAAAGUUGAAAUUGAACCAUAGGCUAAAACAUGUAUUAAAAUCAGAUAAUAGGCCAAUUGUGAUAGCUUAAGCAACCGUGCUAGAACCACGGAAUUCGGGGAUGCCUAACACCUUCCCCCGAGUUAACAGAAUUCCUUAUUCAGAAUUUCUGGUUCACAGACUUCAAAAGGAAAGUCGAAUUUUCUUCGAUUUGGGAUUUAAAAUAAACCGGUGACUUGGGACACCAAUAAAAUAUCCCAAGUGGCGACUUUGAAUUGAAUAAUUAAUCCCAUUUCGAAUAAUAUCACUUUAAGUUGGAAAAAACUCUCUUAUGCCCCUUUCCGGGGUAGGUAAAAAGGAGGUGUGACAGGAGUCUCUGCACUGACAUCCCUCACGAAGGCUAAAUAUGAAAGUCAACCUUUCCAACCAUCCGCUGGGCCUUCAAGAAUGAAAUCACCCUACUGGGGACAAAAUUAGUCGAACCUCGCCACUCAAUCCGUGGCACACCCGUCAUAGCCAAUGUCACUGUCUUAGCAUGAUAGUCCAAAAUAGCAUGACACGGAGAUAGCCAAUCUAUGCCCAAUAUCACAUCAAAGUCCACCAUACAAUGCAAUAACAGGUCCACUCGGGUAUCCAGACCCCCAAUAGUCACCACACACGACCGGUACACACGGUCCACAACAAUAGUAUCGCCCACCGGAGUAGAUACAUGAACAGAUAAAACAAAAGACUCAUGAGGCGUAUCCAAAUAACGAGCGAAAUAUGAUCACACAUAUGAAAAAGUGAAACCAGGAUCAAAUAACAUAAAGGCAUCUCUGUGGCAAACUGAGACAAUACCUGUAAUCACAGCAUCUGAAGCAAUAACAUCGAGUCUAGCUGGGAGUGCAUAGAAAUGGGCCUGACCACCACCUGAUCGACCUCCCUCUCUGGGGCGACCCCUAGCUGACUGACCUCCACCACUAGCUGGGUGGGUGGGUGGUGGUGAAGUAACUGGCGCUAAAGCCGAUGGCUGACUCUUCUACUGAGAUGAACCUCCAAGACGAUGAGGACACUGCCUCCACAUGUGAACCAACUCUCCACACUCAUAACAACUCCCUGGUGCUGGAGAUGGGGACUGAAGGGAACCCCUAGCAUCGAAAUGACUAGCAGAUGCACCUGGCAUAGAAGAUCCCUAGACUGAUGGAGCACGGGACGAACUCUGGGCUGGAAGGGCAUUGAGUGAUGAAUGGCCAUGAUGAGAACUGUGAGAACCAUGACCCGAUAAUACCCCCACGAUAACCUGGCCGAGCUGACUGAGCAUGUCUGAAUAGACGGCCUCUGCCGUGCGAAAACUAACCCCUCGAAAGAGCACCACCAAAACUACCAGAUCCCGAGGCCUGUUGGCCUCCUUCUCAUCUCGCUCCUAGCAAAUAAUUGACUCAAUCUCACGAGCAAUGUCAACAACCUCCACAAAAGUAGCACCAGACACCCUUUCCCUGGUCAUGAGAAUCCGAAGCUGAUAUGUGAGGCCAUCAAUGAACCUCUUGAUGCUUUCUCUAUCCGUAGGAACUAAACAAACAACAUGACGAGCUAACUCUAAGAACCUCAUCUCAUACUAAGUCACAGUCAUAUCUCCCUGAUGCAACUGCUCGAACUGCCUACGGAGCUCCUCUCUACGAGACUGUGGCACAUACUUCUCCAAAAAGAGAACGGAGAACUGCUGUCAGGUAAGGGGUGCUGCACCAACAGGCCUACGCCUCUCAUAAAUCUCCCACCAAGUGAAGGUAGCUCCAGAAAACUGAAAGGCAGUAAAUGCUACACCGCUGGUCUCCAGAAUACCCACUGUAUGAAGAAUCCUCUAACACUUGUCCAAGAAAUCCUGGGCAUCCUCGCCCUUUGUACCACUGAAAGUCGGAGGAUCAAGUCUACCAAAGCUCUCCAACCUGCACUACUUGUCCUCUGGCAUAAUAGAAGCUACAUUGUCCUGAACAACUGUAAUCAGCUGGGCUGGAGGUGCCUCCAGUGUCUGAUGUCCCUGCACGACCUGCUCAGGUGUGCGAACGACGGGAGUCUGAGUGCCUCCCCCGGCCUGAGAAGUAGCUGUGGCUGUAGUGACUGAGACCGCCUAAGCUAGGCCAGUGCAUACUGAUAGAAUCUGGGCCAAGGCCUCCUGAAGGCCUAGAAUCAUAAUAGGCACAUUUCGUGCCUGAGCUGGUGCUGCUGGAGUAUCUAUAACUGGGACCUGAUCAUAAAUUGGGGCGGCUGGUGGAUCUGCAGGUAUUGCCCUAUCUGCUGUGCGGGUUAUAGCCCUGCCCCUACCACGGCCUCGACCACGUCCUUGGCCUCUAGUGGCUCCAGCUAGUGGUAUUGGUGGUCAUCCAUCCUGACCGGUAGCACGUGUCCUCACCAUAUGUGAGAGAAUAGAAUAAUAGAACUCGGAUCAAUAUAUUCGCACAACAAGAAUUCAGGAAUAUGAAGUUUUCCAAAAGGUUCUACAGCCCCCCGAGGAUAAAUACAAAUGUCUCUGUACCGAUUCGCGAGACUCUACUAAAUCUGCUUAUGACUCGUGAGACCUAUGUAGCCUAGGCUCUGAUACCACCUUGUCACGACCCUAAAACGGACUCGAUCGUGAUGGAGCCUAUCGUGAAACUAGGACAGCCGACACAAACACCAAACCAACCGAACAAUUAUAAUAAGCCAUUUAAAGUCAUUAAUAAGCUAAAAAUCCCAAAACAUAGAGUAGAAUAGAACAUGUGUAACAAAUCAGGCCCUCGACCUCAAAAUCAUGAAUCAGUACAAUACUGCUGCGGUGUGCAGCCCGAUCCCAUAAUAUUCUCACAACGCAGGCCCUCGGCCCCACUUAGUCAGAAAUCUAUCAAGCCACCUGGGUAACAGUAAAACAUGAUGCUCAGCCCACAAUAUCAUUUAAAGUAUCAAAAUGAAGUAAAUAUGGAUGAGUUAUGAAAACAGUAGAAUACAAUAUGACUGAGUACAAAUAUGAAGUAAAAACAGUAAGGAAUGGUAGUAAAAUCCCCUAAGGGUCCAAAACAGUUGGCACGAGGCCCAAAUAUGGCAUUUAGCCCAAAAACAUGAUAAUAUUUUCCAAAACACAAUGAUAUCAAAUAAUUUUUAAUCAAAUACACGGUUUAACAGUCAUACGGGACGGACUAAGUCACAAUCCCCAAUAGUGCACGACUCCACGCUCAUCAUCUAGCAUGUGAGUCACCUCAAGGUAGCACAACGAUGUGAAAUCCGAGGUUUCAUACCCUCACGACAGCAUUUACAAUCAUUACUUACUUCUAUCCGGUCCAAACACCAGCCUGUGAUGCCCUUGCCUCUUGACUCGGCCUCCGGAUGCUCUAAAUCUAACCAAAAAUAGAUUCAUACCAUCAAAAUAUGCUAAGUGAACAAAGCCCACUAAAAAAUAACCGAUUUACAUCAAAAAAUCCCGAAAUUGGCCAAACCCGGCCCCCGGCCCCACGUCUCAGAUUCAGAUAAAAACGACAAAACUGGAAUUCUUACACUCUCACGAGUUCAUACAUAUCAAAUACAUCAAAGUCCGACCACAAACGACCCCUCAAAUCCUCACAUCAAAGAAUAAAAUUCCAAGCCCAAACUCCCCAAUUUUAGGCUUUAGAUUCCAUAAAUUUCAUGUUCAAUUAGGUAUAAAUCACAAUAAGAUCGAGUAUUAAGUUCAUAAAUCUUACCUCCAAGUGUUUCUCUUUGAUUCCCUCUUCAAUCCUUCGCAAAAAGCUCCAAAAUUGCUCAAAAAUGGUGAAGUUUAGACCCAAAAUAGAGGACAAUGGCUAUUUAAACAUUUUGGCUAGGUGACCCUUUCCUUCUUUGCGAACGCGGUCAAUGGCUCACGUUCGCGAAGCACAAAAUUCAUUGACCACUUAAAUACUUCUUUGCAAAUGCGACAUCCCGAAUGUGAACACGAAGCUUCAGUUCCUCAACCCAUCGCGAACGUAACAUCCUGAACAUGAACGUGAAGCUUCAUCUCGUCAACCCAUCGCGAACGCGACCCGUAGCUCACGAACGCGAAGCACAAUGAACCUGGACAUAGUUGUUCCCAUUUACUCUACGUGAAUGUGGGAAACUAAUUGUGUUCGCAAUGAACACUGCACCUAAUCCUUAGCGAACACGGUACACACAUCGCGAACCCGAAGGCCAAACUUCCUGCCUCACAUUCUAACCCUUCGCGAAUGUGAGACCCUACUCGCGAAUGCGAAGGCCAAAUGUCUGCAACACCAACAACAAUUUUUCUUCAACUUUUCCAACAUGAAUUUGAUCCGUUCAACCACUCGAAAUUCACUCGAGGCCCUCAGGACCUCAACCAAACAUGCCAAAAUAUUCCAACCUUCGGAACGCUCAAAACAACAUCAAAACACCAAAUUGAUAUCGGAUUCAAGCCUAAGAAUUCCAAAAACUUCCAAAUUCUGCUUUCGAUCAAAAAUUCUAUCAAACCUCAUCCAAAUGACCUAAAAUUUUGCACACAUGUCACAAAUGACACAACGGACCUAUGCCAACUUCCGAAAUUCCAUUCUGACCCAUAUAUCAAAAUCUCACCUAUCAACCAGAAAACACAACAAUUUGCCAAUUUAAGCCUAAAUUUACUAUGGACCUCAAAAACAUAUCCUGAUCACGCUCCUAAGGCUCAAAUCACCUUUCGAAGCUAUCCGAACUAUCAGAAUUCACAUCCGAGCCCUUUUUCACAUAAGUGAACAUCCGGUUGACUUUUCCAACCUAAUUUUACUCGAAAGAGACUAAGUGUCUCAUUCCUUUCCAAAACCUCUCCGAACGCGAACCAACCAACCUGAUAUCACAUAAUACAGCUGAACAGGACAAUAAGAAGCAGAAAUGGGGGAAACGGAGUGGUAACUCAUGAAACAAAUGACCGGGUCGGCUUUAAUGGCCACUAUAAAUAGAGCCUUCCAAUGCUCUCAUCUAAAGGGGAGAUAAAAAAAUGAGAACUAAGAAACCCUAAUACGAGUAUCAAAACUAAUUAGAUUUCAAAAGCUUAGUCUCUCUCUCUCUUUCUCUGUGUGUGUGUGUCUCUGAUUAGUUUCUGUUUCUUUUGUUUCUAAGUUCUCACUGCUCAAAGCUUGAAGCUUUGGUCCUUAUAUGGCUGAGUGGAACCUUUGUUUGGUCUGCUGCACCAAACGAGGUCAGUAUACCUCUACCCUUUCUCCUUUAAUUAUCUAGUUUGAAGUUAUGGAUGCACUGUUGUAUCUCUGUUAAUUGCUUUCGUUUAUAAUGUUUGUCACUAGUUUAUUACUGUUCGUUCUAGCUUAUAAUAAUUUGUUACUAAUUUAUGGUUGACUGUUCUUAUGAAUCUCGAGUCAGUUUGGUUGAGUUAUAAUGUGACUUUGAUUACUACUACCCUAAAUCAAAUGACAUUUAUAAUUAAUUUCCUUAAUAUGUCCUUAUAGCUUCUUAUACUCGCUCUGAUUUCAGAUUUCUCUAAUGUUAUGUUAUGAUCUUUAUGCCUAUCACACUAGCCCUAUUCAGUGCAGUCUGUUAUUAUGUGCUUGAAGUUGUUAUUUGAUGAUUUUAACUAAGAUGGAUAUGAAAUGUUCAAUGUUUAAUCUUUCUUUGCUUCGUUGAAGUGUGUUAAGUUUAAUUGUUUAAAGUGUUUUUUUUUCACACGAGCAUUUGUUAAUCUAAAGCAACCUCUGAGUUAUUACUGUGAAAGUAUUGUGUUUAUAUUAAAUGAUAAUCAUAUUCGUGAGCUUUGUUAUAUGAAACAGUUUCAUUAAAACAAUUAGGUUAACUCUAUGAAAACCCCCAAUAACUAUUCUUGUAUGUAUUAUGUCAUUAUCAAGUUAUCUCUUUUGAACUAGGCUAAUAUCAUAUCUGCUGCAUUUGAGUUUCAGUUAAUAUGUUAGUAAGUUUAAUAAGACCCCCUUAUUUCUAAACAAUCAUAUUCAAUUUGUACAUCUGAGUGGAACCUACUUAGCAUAAAGUUUCUCCUGUCUUGAACAUCAUUCAUCAAGUUACAUCUCGCGUUUUCGUACGCUAAAAGUUUUGUCAUCGGUUAAUUGACGUAGAGUCGGGGAUGAUAUCAUCCUGACAUUAACGUAUUUAUGCUAUUUAUAACAAGCGAUAAACAAGUGUUAUGAAGGAUAAAGGAUGCACAAAUUAGAGAAAACGAGUUUCGUUGAAAAUGGCCAAUUUGCGAUAAAAUACGGAUCAAGUGAUAAUAUCCGAUAAUUAUAAACUAGUACCAUGCAAGGUACCAUAUGACCACGGUAGUAUAAUGUAUAAAAUAUAUAUAAAUUAUUUUAAAAAUAAAUAUAAUUUUAAGUAAUUUGGGGCAAUUUUUAAAUUAUACGAGUAAUUGAUUAAUUACCGAAUAACAGAACAUUACUCAGUUAACUAAUAAGUGGAUAAAAAUGUAUAAAUUAUCCCCAACACAUGGCAAGGAGCCAGAAACCAAGAAGUGACUAAGUAGUCACUUAUGCCUAGGUGGCAACCUAGGCUAAAAAGGAAUAGAUGACUAUCCAAAGUCUUGUUUACAAUUCCUUAUGGAAAUGAGAACAAGUAACAUAGUGAUUCAAAUAAAGCAAGAAUGCAAUUCUUCUUGAUUUGAAAAUUUCAAAGAACAUAAUCUAAGAAAUUUUCUCAGUAUCUCAACAAGCAUGAAGCUUGACGUUUCGUUCAAGAAAUUCAAAGAAACAGAAGUUUAAUCCAAUUUUUGCGGUUCUAACAAAGUACGGUGUACCUUUUUCAAGGAUAUCAUAAGGAUUUUCCCUACUCCAGGUAUGUUAAGGCUAAGCCUUCUUUCAUUUUGGCAUGAUCUCGUAGCUACACGAGUUGAUAACGAAGCAUAAAGAAAAACUCAUUUCCCGAAAUUUAUGUAUAUUUUUCUAGUCUCGCAAAUUUCUUUCAAUGUAGUUAAAAGUGUUUGUUAUCUGAAUUGGUCCAUAACUUUUGCACGUUUGAAACAUAUGUAUGAUUCAAUUAUUUCCUAAAUUUCAAUGGCAUUUUGUGUAUGAUCAAGUGAAAGGACUAUUUGUAACGACCCGACUGGUCGUUUUAAGAAUUUAUGCCUCGAUCCCCCAUUAACUGCUUUCCUUGUGUUUAUUUCUGCUAUUUUGAUUUGCUGGGAUGUUCGGUUUUGAGUUUUGGAGAGUUUUAGGACACACUGUCCCUAAAUGAGAGCUUAAGUUUUGGAAACUUGACCGUAGUCAGAACAGUGUGAGUAUGGCCUUAGAAAGGAAUUUCGAUGGUUCCGUUAGCUCAGUUGGGUGACUUCGGGUUUAGGAGCGUGUUCGGAUGGUGUUUUGGAGGUCUGUAGCUAAUUUAGGUUUGAAAUACCGAAAGUUGAAUUUUUGAAGUUUUCGGUUUGAUAGUGAGAUUUUGAUACGAGGGCCGGAAUGGAAUUUUGGAAGUUGGAUUAGCUCCAUAGUGUUGAAUGUGACGUGUGUGCAAAUUUUCAGGUCAUUCGGACGAGGUUUGAUAGUCGUUUUGAUCGAAAGCAUAUUUUGAGAGUUUUUGAAGUUCUUAGGCUUGAAUCCAAUGAUAAAUUGGUGUUUUGAUGUUGUUUUGAGCGUUCCGAAAAUUAGAACAAGUUUGAAUGAUGUUUUAGGAUUGGUUGGCAUGUUUGGUUGAGGUCUCGGGGGCCUCGGGUGUGUUUCGGAUGCUCAAAGGGUCAUUUUUGGAACUUAGAAAUUGCAGAAAAAUGUUACAGCAGUCAGUUCUUGUUUCCUUCUUCGCGUUCACGAGUGGGGUCUCGUGUUCGCGAAGAGAAGCUGGGGCCGGUGAGGAAUUUAUGCUUCGCAUUCGUGAAGUUGGGAGUUUUAUGUCUACUUGUUCGCGAUGGUGUUUCCGCGUUCGCGUAGGAGGAGGAAGUGUUGCAUCGCGUUCGCAACCUGGGCAUCGCGUUCAGGAUGAAGGAAUCUGGACCCAAGUUAAUUUGUUCUUCGCGAACUCGAGGGGCCUUCUGCGUUCGCGAAGAAGGAAUAUCUGGGCAGUAUUUAAAUAGCCCAUCCACGACCCUUCUUCAUUUUUCCACCAUUUUUGAACGGGAUUGAAGCUUUUGAGGGUGAUUUUUGAGGAAACCAAAGGGGAAUCACUUGGAGGUUACAAUUUUGACUUCAUAACUCGUUUAUAUGUGAUUGAGGACCUAAUUAGUUGUGAAAAAAUUGGAAAAAUGGGUAAUUAGGGCUUGAGAUUAAGAGACCUUAAAAUGGGUAUUUGAGAGGCCAAUUGAACCCCGAUUUCAGUGUUCUUGUUAUGUAUAGACUCGUGGGAGUAUGAGAAUUCUGAAAAUGUAAAUUUCACCCGAUUCCGAGAUGUGGGCUUUAGGGACAUUUUGGUUAUUUUACCUUAUUUCGCGUAUUAGCUUAGAAUUUCUUUCUGGAAUCAGUUAUUUGAAGUGUUAUUUACAUUAUGCAAUUGAAUUGAAUAGAUUUGGACCAUUUGGAGUUGACUACUCGUGGCAAGAGCAUGGUUUCAGGUUGAUUUUGAGCUGGCUCGAGGUAAGUGGCUUACCUUAGGAUUUGGUAUUAUGGUAAUUGAAAUGCCUUGUACGUGAGGUGACGAGUGCGUACUUAUGCUAAUUGUUGAAAAUCCUGUUUUCACUUAAGUAGCUUUAAUUGUGUUUUUCCUUUCUUGCUUACUCUACUUGAAAUUUAAAUCUUCUAUUAGCUUAGAAAAGCAUGUUUAAUGUACUUAAUUGCUUUAUUGUUUAAACUGUCGAAAUUGUAUUAUGUGAAGCAUGUUAGGUUAGAAUUAUCUAUUUUUACUUGGUACGAAAUUCAGCUUAAUUUAGUAUUCCUUCUGUUGUUGUGGUGUGUUUUACUUUGGGACAACGGGAUAGCAUCUCGGGAGAUCGCCUGCACGUAUUUAUGAUUUGAGUUGAGGUGCGGGAUACCAAGAGAUCCCUAGCAUGUAUAUUGAGGAUACCAAGAGAUCCUCAGGAUACUAAGAGAUCCCUAGCUUAUGUUGAGGAUACCAAGAGAUCCUCGGAAUACUAAGAGAUCCCUGGCAUGUAUUGAGGGUACUAAGAGAUCCUUGGAAUACUGAGAGAUCCCCGGUCAUUAUCUUUGAGAAGAGUGUUAUUCCUGGUGAUUGUUUCUGUUUCUGUUUUAGUUAUAGUUAUCCUUAUUAUCCUAUAUUGAUUCUUUUAAUAUCUUCCAAUUGUACUGCUUUAUCGUAUACUAUCACACCUUAUAUUUUAUUUAAUCUCAGUAGGGCCCUGACCUUCCUCAUCACUACCCGACCGAGGUUAGGCUUGACACUUACUAAGUACCAUUGUGGUGUACUCACGCCCUUUCUGUGCAUGUUUUUCAUGUGUAGAUUCAGGUACCUCCACUCAGACUCAUCACGCUUGAGAUGAGGUGCUUAUAGAGACUCCGAGGUAUAUCUUCCGCGUCUGCAGACCGAAGAGUCCCUUUCUACUCCCCUUUUUAGUAUUAGCCCUUCUGUAUUUUCUUUUUUCCUUUGGAUAGAUAUUUUGGAGUUAGAUAUUUAUAGACAUUCAAAGGCUUGUGAUCAUGAGAUUCUGGGUUUUGGGAAAUGUAUUCAGAUUUCGAGAGUUGAUAUUGUGUAUGUCGGGCGACACUUUUAAACACUAUUUUGCUUCACUAUUUCGUUUUUAUUA